GGGGGGGGGGGGGGGGGGGGCGGGGGGGGGGGGGGCGGGCGGAGGGGGGGGGGGGGGGGGGUGCGGGUGUUGGCGGCGGGCGGGUGGGUGAGACGUGGAUGACCUCCCUGUCAGACGGGGAUAACUUCGGGACACCGGCGCUACUACCGGAUACUCUUUUGCACCGCGUGGGUCCAAAGUGUAAGACGGUCUUGCUGUCACUUAUAGCUUGCUCCGCGCUGCAUUAGCUAGAUGGUAAGGUCACGGCUUACCAAGGCAACGAUGCAUAGCCGACCUGAGAGGGUGAUCGGCCACACUGGAACUGAGACACGGUCCAGACUCCUACGGGAGGCAGCAGUAGGGAAUCGUCCGCAAUGGGCGAAAGCCUGACGGAGCAACGCCGCGUGAGUGAUGAAGGUCUUCGGAUCGUAAAACUCUGUGAUUAGGGAAGAACAUAUGUGUAAGUAACUGUGCACAUCUUGACGGUACCUAAUCAGAAAGCCACGGCUAACUACGUG
rnacentral:rRNA from 1 species